GUUUUCUUAGCCUUUUUACUCAGGAAAACGUUUCAAACGCGUUCUGCUGCAACGCCAUCUUGGGACCGCCGCGUCCCGAUCCCUGCAAAGACAUUGUGUUUUUUUGAGGUUUUAUUCAGAUGCUUAAAGUGAACAGCAGAGAGAGCAUUAGAAGGGCAAGCAGCUUAAAGUGCAGACGUGAUGGGCAAGAAAAUCUGAAUUAAUGGAGGUUGCAAAAACACACAAAAUUCAUCAGUGAACUUUAUAUGGUUUGCUGUAUUCCACUUCAAAAGGGACUAAAAAAAGCCGAGUUCCAGACCCCGCUUAAGAUGGAUUAAAUAAAUGCCAAUAGA